UGAAAUCAAGUGUGACGACCCGCUGAACUUAAGCAUAUCAAUAAGCGGAGGAAAAGAAAUCAAAUGAGAUUUCCCUAGUAGCUGCGAGUGAACUGGAAUCAAGCCUAUUGCCAAUUCUUAUGUUUUGUACAAUAAGAGAUGAGGUGUAAAGGUAUCUCGUGUUCAGCAGUGGCACGGCCUAAUUAUUAUUGAGUCAGUGCUCAAAGAAGGUGAAAAGCCUGUAUGGUUGCGCCGAUCUGUUGAACCGUGAUACUGGAGAGUCUAGUUGUUUGAGAGUACAACUUAAAGUUGGUGGUAAAUUUCAUCAAAGGCUAAAUAUACGAAGGGACUAAUAGCGAACAAGUACCAUGAGGGAAAGUUGAAAAGAACUCUGACGAGAGAGUUCAACAGUACGUGAAACCACAUUGAGUAAAACAGAUAACUGUGUUGUUAUGUGGUGUGCCUAUCAACAGUCACUUCGGCGUUGCCACGUUUUGGGUGUAGGCUGUCUAUUCAGCUGAAUGCCUAAAACUAGCAUAGUCGGAGGUGCUGUGCACUAGUGCGCACUCGAUCAUUGAGAAGCUAUGCCGCUGCUGCAUCGGUAUGUGUCAGUCCGCACUUAGUGUGUAGUCACAUGCUGGGUUGUGCUAGCCUUGGCGUAGUUUAGCUGUGUGACAGCUGUGGGUUGCGUUUGUCGAUUGUAGCUGCUGUAUCUGCGAACUGGUUUAUUCCUUUUUGCGGUGAGUAUGUUGCAGGACGCAAGCAGCCCGCCAUCAAUGGUAACAUUAGU
rnacentral:rRNA from 1 species